rnacentral:tRNA from 1 species
GGGCCUGUAGCUCACCUGGGAGAGCGCUACGUUCGCAACGUAGAGGUAGAGAGUUCGAGUCUCUUCAGGUCCACCA